UCCGAAUUGGUGUAGUGGCUAACAUUUGACGCUCUCAAAUACGAAGUACCGUCAAGCCCGGGGUUCGAUUCCCCGAUUCGGAG